AGUGAACGCUGGCGGUAGGCCUAACACAUGCAAGUCGAACGGCAGCACAGUAAGAGCUUGCUCUUACGGGUGGCGAGUGUCGGACGGGUGAGGAAUACAUCGGAAUCUACUUUUUCGUGGGGGAUAACGUAGGGAAACUUACGCUAAUACCGCAUACGACCUACGGGUGAAAGCAGGGGAUCUUCGGACCUUGCGCGAUUGAAUGGGCCGAUGUCGGAUUAGCUAGUUGGCGGGGUAAAGGCCCACCAAGGCGACGAUCCGUAGCUGGUCUGAGAGGAUGAUCAGCCACACUGGAACUGAGACACGGUCCAGACUCCUACGGGAGGCAGCAGUGGGGAAUAUUGGACAAUGGGCGCAAGCCUGAUCCAGCCAUACCGCGUGGGUGAAGAAGGCCUUCGGGUUGUAAAGCCCUUUUGUUGGGAAAGAAAAGCAGCAGGUUAAUACCCCGCUGUUCUGACGGUACCCAAAGAAUAAGCACCGGCUAACUUCGCG
rnacentral:rRNA from 1 species